UACGGAGGGUGCAAGCGUUAUCCGGAUUCACUGGGUUUAAAGGGUGCGUAGGUGGGAAUGUAAGUCAGUGGUGAAAUCUCCGUGCUUAACAUGGAAACUGCCAUUGAUACUAUGUUUCUUGAAUUUUCUGGAGGUUAGCGGAAUAUGUCAUGUAGCGGUGAAAUGCUUAGAUAUGACAUAGAACACCAAUUGCGAAGGCAGCUAGCUACAGGGAUAUUGACACUGAGGCACGAAAGCGUGGGGGAUCAAACAGG
rnacentral:rRNA from 1 species